CCUACGGGAGGCAGCAGUGAGGAAUAUUGGUCAAUGGGCGGGAGCCUGAACCAGCCAAGUCGCGUGAGGGAAGACGGUCCUAUGGAUUGUAAACCUCUUUAGGCGGGGAGCAAUGCCGGGCACGCGUGCCCGGAGGGAGAGUACCCGCAGAAUAAGCAUCGGCUAACUCCGUGCCAGCAGCCGCGGUAAUACGGAGGAUGCGAGCUUUAUCCGGAUUGAUUGGGUUUAAAGGGUGCGUAGGCGGAUUUUUAAGUCAGCGGUAAAAUGUCCGGGCUCAACACGGGCCGGCCGUUGAAACUGGGGAUCUUGAGUGGGCGAGAAGUAUGCGGAAUGCGUGGUGUAGCGGUGAAAUGCAUAGAUAUCACGCAGAACUCCGAUUGCGAAGGCAGCAUACCGGCGCCCGACUGACGCUGAGGCACGAAAGCGUGGGGAUCGAACAGGAUUAGAUACCCCAGUAGUC
rnacentral:rRNA from 1 species